GUGCUCGCUUUGGCAGCACAUAUACUAAAAUUGGAAUGAUACAGAGAAGAUUAGCGUGGCCCCUGCACAAGAAUGACAUGCAAAUUCAUGAAGCGUUCCAUAUUUUU
rnacentral:snRNA from 1 species